rnacentral:rRNA from 1 species
GACGAACGCUGGCGGCGUGCUUAACACAUGCAAGUCGAACGGAAAGUGCUCUUCGGAGUGACCCGAGUGGCGAACGGGUGAGUAACACGUGGGUGAUCUGCCCUGCACUUUGGGAUAAGCCUGGGAAACUGGGUCUAAUACCGAAUAGGACCAUGGCCUUCAUGGGUUGUGGUGGAAAGCUUUUGCGGUGUGGGAUGGGCCCGCGGCCUAUCAGCUUGUUGGUGGGGUAAUGGCUUACCAAGGCGACGACGGGUAGCCGGCCUGAGAGGGUGACCGGCCACACUGGGACUGAGAUACGGCCCAGACUCCUACGGGAGGCAGCAGUGGGGAAUAUUGCACAAUGGGCGCAAGCCUGAUGCAGCGACGCCGCGUGAGGGAUGACGGCCUUCGGGUUGUAAACCUCUUUCAGUAGGGACGAAGCGCAAGUGACGGUACCUAUAGAAGAAGGACCGGCCAACUACGUGCCAGCCGCCGCAGUAUAC